UCCCCUGUAGCUCAAUGGUAGAGCGUCCGGCUGUUAACCGGCAGGUUCGUGGUUCGAGUCCACGCGGGGGAGCCA
rnacentral:tRNA from 1 species